rnacentral:rRNA from 1 species
UACGUAGGGGGCAAGCGUUGUCCGGAUUUAUUGGGUUUAAAGGGUGCGUAGGCGGAUCUUUAAGUCAGUGGUGAAAGCCUGCAGCUUAACCGUAGAACAGCCAUUGAAACUGAAGAUCUUGAAUUUGGUUAAAGUAGGCGGAAUGUAUCAUGUAGCGGUGAAAUGCUUAGAUAUGAUACAGAACACCGAUAGCGAAGGCAGCUUGCUGAACCAGUAUUGACGCUGAGGCACGAAAGCGUGGGGAGCGAACAGG